rnacentral:rRNA from 1 species
UUGCUUCGGUAACUGACCUAGCGGCGGACGGGUGAGKAAWGCUUAGGAAUCUGCCAUUUAGUGGGGGACAACAUUCCSAAAGGAAUGCUAAUACCGCAUACGUCCUACGGGAGAAAGCAGGGGAUCUUCGGACCUUGCGCUAAAUGAUGAGCCUAAGUCGGAUUAGCUAGUUGGUGGGGUAAAGGCCUACCAAGGCGACGAUCUGUAGCGGGUCUGAGAGGAUGAUCCGCCACACUGGGACUGAGACACGGCCCAGACUCCUACGGGAGGCAGCAGUGGGGAAUAUUGGACAAUGGGCGCAAGCCUGAUCCAGCCAUGCCGCGUGUGUGAAGAAGGCCUUUUGGUUGUAAAGCACUUUAAGCGAGGAGGAGGCUACCUAGAUUAAUACUCUAGGAUAGUGGACGUUACUCGCAGAAUAAGCACCGGCUAACUCUGUGCCAGCAGCCGCGGUAAUACAGAGGGUGCGAGCGUUAAUCGGAUUUACUGGGCGUAAAGCGUGCGUAGGCGGCUUUUUAAGUCGGAUGUGAAAUCCCCGAGCUUAACUUGGGAAUUGCAUUCGAUACUGGGAAGCUAGAGUAUGGGAGAGGAUGG